UUGCUGAACAGGGACAAAAGAAAAGACAACUUCCAAGCCAAGUUUUCUAAACUAUAAAGCACAUAAAGAGUUGAUAUCACAGAGAGAAGAGUAGAAGACCCACUAAUUUACAGUCAACAAAGAUUUUCUAAAAUGGCAACACCACAGGCCUUUGAUCUUCUUCCUGCAAACAAUGAAACUCAUCACCCAGCUUUCUUUAACAACAAUGGAGGUGAUGAGUUUCGAAUCAUGCUUUUAUCGGAUGCUGCAAUGGCUGAAGAAUUGCAGCUCCAAGAAGCUCUACAGGCUUCUCUUUUCACUUCAGAGUUGCCGAAUCCAUCACCAUAUGUGAAAAAUAUAGGUGAAUCUGAAUCAUCCCUCAGUUUUUGUGUGAUUUGCACGGAGAUGAUAGAAAAUGAGAAACUAAUCAAGAAUGGGGAAUGUGGUCACUGUUUUUGUUCCGAUUACUGUAUAAGCAAGUAUUUGGAGGCAAAGAUCAAAGAGGGUUUCGACACUUUUCCUUGUCCAGGCUUUGAUUGUGACUUUUUCCUAAACUUUGAUGAUUUGAAGCAUCUUCUUCCUGAGGAUGUGCAGAAUCUGUGGGCAAAAGCUGUGUCUAUGGAGGUGGCUCCAAAUUUUAGUUCAAGGUCAGUGUAUUUUUUAGUAUUUGGUGUUAAAGUAGAGAUUUUUAUUAUAAAAGCUGUGUCUAGCUGUGUCUAUGGAGGUGGCUCCAAAUUUCAGUUCAAGGAAAGAUUUAUGUGCCAGGGAGAGUACAGAAUAUGCAGGGAGAGUACAGAAUAUGGCAGUGAAAGGACUUUCACUGCUAACACCAGUGACAAUCCAUCACAGGAUGUAAGAACUGAGCAGUUCAAUCACAGUGUAACCUACACUGAUAAAUCUGCACAAGAUGAUAGCAAGUGUGUGGUUUCUCAAAGGAACUAUGAAGAGGCAGCUCGAAAACAGAGAGAUGAUGCUCGGUCUACAUUGUCAACCGGAAGAGGAAAUGGAAGGCCCAAAUCAACCUACAAGUUUAUCAAGAACACGGUUCCACGAUUUUCAGAGAGCCCAUUUAUGAGACCGAGACUGAAUAUGCAAACUGCUUUUGCUUCUAGUUCACGGAAAUGUUCAGGAGAUGAAAGAGAAAGAGUUGCAGCUAAUAUUCCUGAAGGUGAAGCAAGUAGUAGCAAAUGGGAAAGUGUAAAAGAUGAGAAGAAAGAUCAUGAGAUAGUUUGGCCUCCUAUGGUUGUAAUUGCAAAUACAAGCCUUAAGAAAGAUGAGAAUAACAAGUGGAUUGGCAUGACAAGUCAAGAGCUAUUAGACUUGUUCAGCUCAUAUGAUGCCAUUGUUAAGGCUCAAAACUCUUACAAUUGGCAAGGACAUUGCGGGUUAAGUAUGUUGAUUUUUGAGAGCUCAGCAAAGGGGUAUGUAUUUAGAGGCAGAGCGCCUGCAUAAGCAUUUUGCAGAGGAACGGAAAGAUAGAUAUGCUUGGACUCAUCGGCCGGUCUAUUUCCUACCCAGUGGAAAGCGCCAACUUUAUGGUUUCAUGGCAUUGAAAGAAGACGUGGAUAGCUUUAAAGGUAAGCGUAAGCUGAAAUAUGAAAUGAGAUCAUACCAAGAAAUGGUGGUAAACCAAAUUAGGCAAAUGAGUAAAGACAACUAUCAGCUUCUCUGGUUGAAGAACAGAGUUGCUGAGCAGCAAAGGCAUGUGGAAGUUCUUGAAGAAUCUAAUACUAUGUAUAAGGAGAAGCUGCAAAUGGUAACCAGGGAUAUGGAUAUUUUGAGAAGUAAGGCCAAUGUGCAUCAUGGGCAGACAAUGGAAGAGAUGCAAUUUCAAGAGCAAUUUUACAAGGACAAAAUCAGAAAUCUUGAAUCAGGAAGUGACAAAGAUGGAGAUUUUGACAAGAUAAAGAGUGGGCAAGAACAAGAGUUAUUAAACAUUCAAGACACUGAAAAUGAAACACAAGAAGUAGCAGAGAUUCCUUGGUUGCCAGAACGAGAAGAGAUUAAGAAACCUGAAAUUGCAAGGGAAAGAGCAAGUGCAAGUUCAAGAUUUGCUGGGAGACCCCGGGAAAAGCGGGGAGUUAGCGAUCAUCGGUCCAUGUGUUUUGAGAUGUCAUGGAAAGAUCUUGCCAUCCCAGUUCUUGGUGCUUCAAUCCCCAUACUACUGAAAAUUAUUAGGUAGCCCCAGAGCAUAAUUCUCUCCUCUGCCUUUCACAUUCUGCAAGCGAGUCUACAUUUUUGUGAAAGGAAUGGAGCAACUAUUGAUCACUGAUCCUAAUAUGUAUUGAAAACAAAAAUUUAUCCCGAAUUGUACUUAUGAUUAAACAUCAACUAUUCGAAUGUUAUCAUAAAUCAGACUCCGAUUUCUCUGGCAAAUAGAUUUUUAGCUUUUGAAUGA